GGGGACUCGGGAACUCGUGCCAAGUGACUGGUGCUCGCUUCAGGCUCCUGCUACCUUCUGCGGGCGGAACGUGGGUGUCCCGAGAAGAGACCGACCCCAUCUCUACUAUGCCGCCAGCGCGUUGUGUCAGCAAGCUGGCUGUGGACGGCCCGAUGAGCGUGACUUGAUUUUGUACUUUCUGCCCCCUCCAAUUUUCUCAGAAUGCAACAUAAGAAAAAGAACUAAGAGCAGUGUGUGCAGGAAAGCUUCGAAGAUACGGGUGCAGAGGUUUGGUCACUGCUAUGGGGGAGGUCGCAGAGCUGAGAGGACGCUUUCUGUCCUGUCUGGGAUUCUGGAAUUGCACUCGGGUUCCCACGCGUGUGCAGCCGUCCCCCAGCCCCCGUUAAUACUGAAGUAGCAACUCUUCUGACGUCAGCGCUCUCUUCUACUUGACACGCCUUCCCUUACUUAACUUCUCCCUUCAUUUUCUUACUGCUUUUGCCUGGAUUCAGCGUUGAUAUUUUAAAAUUGAAAUCCGUUAUUAUUUUGUCAUGUAGCCCAGGCUGGCCAAGAUCUUGCCUCCCUUCAGGCUUAUUUUAGGAAAAUUAUACUCUCACUUGUGGGGUGCUUGUGACAGUGUCACCCAUGCACACACUGUGUGACAUUAGGUCAUGCUAAGUCUGUCUAUCAUCUCUAUAAAUUCUUAGUUGUAAAACUCAAA
rnacentral:lncRNA from 1 species